rnacentral:lncRNA from 1 species
GAAGGAGGUCUGAAGGAGGGAAAAACAAUGAAGAAAUUCUUAAUAUACUCUUUAUACGAAAAUGAUGACUUCAAGGACUCAGGAACCAACAUUGCUAAAGAGUAUUCUUCUAAGAAGAACACACGCAUGACUCCAUGCAUGGUUUUGGGGAGCAAAAUCAUCUGAAGAACAUAUCUCCGUGCUGCAGCUGGCCGGCUGUGAGAGGUUAUUACUUAAAAAUUGCCUGCGAUUGCUGAUUUAGUGUCUGUGUGAAAUGCUGUAUUGUCUGGACUCCUGUAUUUGCAAACAGAGCAGAUAGCAGAAGUGGAAGCACUUCCCGCACAGCUUCUUGGCUGCGACCUGGACUGACCCUAUGAAUGGCAAGUGGGGGUGUUCCUGCACGCCGGUCUCAGUCAGUUCCCUCAGCCCCUCUGUCCUCCUGGAAGUCGUCGUUUUCUGCGUUCCUGUGUCAUUUCUCACCUUCCUUGUACCAUUUACCAGUGCAAGCUCCCUUGGAAGUGUUCCUUCAACUUUGCAUGCACGUUAACAAUUAAAUGUAAGUUCCCUCUUUUAAUCUGCUGUGAUUAUUUUAAAUAAUUAAAAUUAAGAGGCCCUUUUCCCACCCGAAGGCAAG